CAUUUUCACGUAUUUUACAUGGCUCCAACAUUUCCCUCCAUCUCAUUUUCACCUAUUUCACAUGGCUCCAACAUUCCCCCCAUCUCAUUUUCACCAAAACCCCAAAUUAAAAAGAGCAUAAUUUCCCCCUUUUUUUUUUCUUCCCCAAAUCAAAACUUAAAACUAUUUUUUCUCUUCUUUCGCAUACCGCCGACAAUCCACUCCUUUAGCGUUUGAUUCCAGUGUUCCAGUUUCCCCAAUUUAUUUAAGGUUUCAGAUCUUGUUCAUUUCUCGGUGAUAGUGACGACGCGGUCGUCGUGCCAAGAUAAGUACAAGGGAGAUUCUAUAGUUCAGAUGAUUUUCGAUGAUUCUUUGUCCAUUAAUGGCCGCACUUUCACCUUUGAUUUCGUUGUUGAUGUCGAAACUAGUCAGGGGAUGAAGACGUCUUUGCUGAUUGUGGUUGGAAUUGUUGAGAGAAUUCAGAGUCAAAAAAUAUUCAAGGAUUUAAGUAUUUAAGUGUUUACACUGACAUUACUUUGUACUUCUUAGUAACUUAUUGUUUCUUGAAGAGCAUGGUAAUGCACUGGAAGCCUACCUGUUGCCAUUAUUUGACCCAAAUAUAACUCCCAAAAAUGUGGUUAUAAUUGCAAAAUUUUGACAGGUUCUGGUUUUUUUGUGUUCGCAGGUUCUGUUUGCUGUUUUGGUGGGUGCUGCCUUCUGUUAGGGGCGGCUGCUGCUGUGUGCACCUGCUGUCAGCUGGUGUUUGCUGCUGCCAGCAGCUUCUGUGGUGCGGUUCAGCACGUGUUGGUGUGCUUGGGGGCUGGGUUUGGUGCGGUGUUAUGCAUAGGGGGUCAUUGUUCUUGUCCGGCUGCCUUUCCGGAUAGUUUUUGGGUCUUUGUAUACCUUUGCAUCAGUCACUUGUUUUAGGAGGCUGAGUUUUUCUUUUUGUUUGGCUCUUUUGGGUGUUUGUUUUGGUGUGGUUUGGGUCAGGUGUUCCGCCUAUAUACGACAACCUUGUUUGUGUUGA